rfam:Gossypium hirsutum cultivar TM-1 chromosome 1, whole genome shotgun sequence
UGUUAAAAUUUUAUUAAUUUUUACUGUUAAAAAUUGACAUGACUGAUGAAAUAACCAAAUAGUUACAUGUGGCAUGCCACUUGUACCUUAUGCUGACAUACAAAAACCAAUUUUUAACAGUAAAAAUGGAUAGAAUUGUUAACU